rnacentral:rRNA from 1 species
AAGGAAUAGCCUUUGGAAACGAAGAGUAAUACCUUAUACGCCCUUCGGGGGAAAGAUUUAUCGGUAUCGGAUUAGCCCGCGUAAGAUUAGAUAGUUGGUGGGGUAAUGGCCUACCAAGUCUACGAUCUUUAGCUGGUUUUAGAGGAUGAUCAGCAACACUGGGACUGAGACACGGCCCAGACUCCUACGGGAGGCAGCAGUGGGGAAUCUUAGACAAUGGGCGCAAGCCUGAUCUAGCCAUGCCGCGUGAGUGAAGAAGGCCUUAGGGUCGUAAAGCACUUUCGCCAGAGAUGAUAAUGACAGUAUCUGGUAAAGAAACCCCGGCUAACUCCGUGCCAGCAGCCGCGGUAAUACGGAGGGGGUUAGCGUUGUUCGGAAUUACUGGGCGUAAAGCGCACGUAGGCGGACUGGAAAGUUGGGGGUGAAAUCCCGGGGCUCAACCUCGGAACUGCCUCCAAAACUAUCAGUCUAGAGUUCGAGAGAGGUGAGUGGAAUUCCAAGUGUAGAGGUGAAAUUCGUAGAUAUUUGGAGGAACACCAGUGGCGAAGGCGGCUCACUGGCUCGAUACUGACGCUGAGGUGCGAAAGUGUGGGGAGCAAACAGGAUUAGAUACCCUGGUAGUCCACACCGUAAACGAUGAAUGCCAGUCGUCGGCAAGUAUACUUGUCGGUGACACACCUAACGGAUUAAGCAUUCCGCCUGGGGAGUACGGUCGCAAGAUUAAAACUCAAAGGAAUUGACGGGGGCCCGCACAAGCGGUGGAGCAUGUGGUUUAAUUCGAAGC